CUGGGUUCGGUUUCCUGGGUCUUAACCUUUGUGCUUCAAUUUUGGAUAUACUACAUACACCCAUCCCAUAUUAUGAUAUUGUUAUUCCUCUGUAGUUCCUGUUUUGUCUAUUUCGUUCAUGAGUGUAGUUAGUAUUCUACAAUAAGCUGCCUUGUUUGUGUGUGAAUUACCUAAAAAAGAUCUCUCAAACGUAGCGGUGCAGUAUAGG